rnacentral:lncRNA from 1 species
UUUUUUUUUUUUUUUUUUUUUUUAUGACACUGACUUAUUGAAGAGACUGGGCCACGUGUUCAGUAGGGUGUUCCACCAUUUAUUCUAGGUUUUUCUGGUUGUUUCCUCUUGAUGUCAUUUUAUUCUUCUAUUCUUGCAGUUCCUGAGACAGGAAGAUAGAUUUCAAGGCUUAAUGAUGUUGAGGUUAAAAUUUUUUGGAAACAAUACUUCAAAGAUGAUGCUGAGCUUCAUACUGCAUCAGAUUGGGAGACAUUUAAUGUCAGGCUGGGUCACUUUUAUGGUGAUAAGAUGUAUCUGGGUUAAGGUAGGAGGGGCAAGAUUUCCCUGUGUUGUAAAAAUGUAACCAAUAGUAGGCCGGGCGCGGUGGUUCACGCCUGUACGCCUGUAAUCCCAACACUUUGGGAGGUCGAGGCAGGCAGAUCACGAGGUCAGCCGAUUGAGACCUUCCUGGCCAAUAUGGUGAAACCCCGUCUCUACUAAAAAUACGAGGGCUCCUGUAGUCCCAACUACUUGGGAGGCUGAGGCUGGAGAAUGGCGUGAAUGCGGGAGGCGGAGCUUGCAGUGAGCCGAGAUCGAGCCACUGCACUUCAGCCUUGAGACAGUAAGACUCUGUCUCAAAAAAAAAAAAAAAAAAAAAAAAAUUGUAACCGGCAGUAAUCCCUAGGGGAAUAAUUUGGCAUCAACUGAGUAUCCUGUUCCUUAUCACCUUUUCAUCAAAUGAUAUCAUUGAUGAUCCUGGCAUGAAUCAAUUAUGAAAUUCCAUUAUUCAUUUAUGAUUACUUAGUUGGCAUACUUUUGUAAAGAGAACUGUUCCCUCAUCAACUGGUGCUCAUCUAUCAACUGUAUUUCGGUUAGCCCGAAAUACAGCUGCUACUAGAAAGGCGAAUACCUGUUUGUUUUCUUAAAUUAUCAUUUUGCAGAGUAAAGAGUUAGUGUAAUAGUCAUCACCAAUAGUGUGGCAAAUGAAGUUAAUUUUUUAAAAUUUGGAUUACUCUUUGGGGUCAGUGACUUUUUUAUGUUUAAAGUUUCCAAUCACUUUUCAGUUUGCCUCAUUGUUAUUUUUGAUUCUCAAAUUGUUCUAAUUUUGGCCAGUUGGCGACUUCAGGCUGGCUCUCAUGUCCUUUUAGAUGGACCUUGUUCGUCUUGAGAGUCGUCCUGACUUGCUGACACAAGUUGUCCUCAUUCACUCCCAGCUUCUGACCUGGCAUCAGUCAUUUAUCGAAGGAGCGCUUGGUACCUUUUAGUGGGGGGUGGCAUUUAGAGAUUAAUAGCUGGGUGUCAAGGAUAGACAAUGCUCCUAUACCCUUCAUAUUCAUAUUUUCAUUCAAAAAUUAACAAUAUAGGUUUUUAAAAAAUACACUCAGGAUGUGUGGUGAGGGGGAGGGGGAAACCAAACACAAUAUAGGGGUUUCCACUGUGAUCCUAAUUUAUAUUAUGAUCCCAAUUUUUAAAAAGAGGAAACGGAGACCAGAGGUGCCCAAGGUUACUUGGCUAGUAACUGGCAGCGUCGGAAUUUAAGCCCAGGCAUGUUACUUCCAUCAGGGAAGGGAGUCCCAGGGCUCCAGCAGGCGACGGGUCUGUGGAAAGGGGUCAGGUUGAUGACCAGG